UCCCGUUGAUCCUGCGGGAGGUUGCUGCUAUGGGAGUUCGAUUAAGCCAUGCAAGUUAGCUUCUUUCGGGGAGCGGCAGACUGCUCAGUAACACGUCAAUAAUCUAACCUUUUGUCUGGGAUAACUUCGGGAAACUGAGGAUAAUACCGGAUAGAGGAUGAAUACUGGAAUGUUUCAUCUUCUAAAGGCAACGCAAAAGGAUGAGUUGGCGGCUGAUUAGGCUGUUGGCGGGGUAAAGGCCCACCAAACCUAUGAUCAGUAGAGGCCUUGAGAGAGGUAGCCUCGAGAAGGGUACUGAGACACUGACCCUAGCCCUACGGGGUGCAGCAGGCGCGAAACCUUUACACUGCACGAAAGUGUGAUAAGGGAACUCCCAGUGCUAGUGUUUUGCACUGGCUUUUGCCAAUAGUAAAAAUAUUGGCGAAUAAGCGGUGGGUAAGACUGGUGCCAGCCGCCGCGGUAAUACCAGCGCCGCUAGUGGCAACCGUGUUUAUUGGGCCUAAAGCGUUCGUAGCCUGUUUAGUAAAUUUUUUGUGAAAUUGAUAAGCUUAACUUAUCAACGUGCAUGAAACACUGCUAGACUAGGGACCGGGAAGAGUUAGAAGUAUGCCUAGGGGAGCGGUAGAAUGUUAUAAUCCUAGGUGGACUAUCUGUGGCGAAGGCGUCUAACUAGAACGGAUCCGACGGUGAGGAACGAAAGCUAGGGGAGCAAAACGGAUUAGAUACACGCGUAGUCCUAGCUGUAAACGCUGCGAGCUAGGUGUUGCAUAUUCCUCGAGAAUGUGCAGUGUCGAAGCGAAGGUGAUAAGCUCGCCGCCUGGGAAGUACGGUCGCAAGGCUGAAACUUAAAGGAAUUGGCGGGGGAGCACUACAAGAGGUGCGGCGUGCGGUUUAAUCUAAUUCAACGCAGAAAAUCUCACCACAGGCGACGGCAGGAUGAAAGUCAGUUUAAAGGGCUUACUGGACGAGCCGAGAGGUAGUGCAUGGCCGCCGCCAGCUCGUGCCGUAAGGUGUCCUGUUAAGUCAGGUAACGAGCGAGACCUGUACCCACAAUUGCUAACAAACUCUGUGAUUGAGCACAUUGUGGGGACUGCCUUGGAAACAAGGAGGAAGGUGCAGGCAACGGUAGGUCUGUAUGCUCCGAAUCCUGUGGGCUACACGCGCGCAACAAUGGUAGGUACAAUGGGCUACAACUCUGAAAAGAGAAGUUAAUCCUCUAAACCCUAUCUUAGUUCAGAUUGAGCUUUGAAACUCAGGCUCAUGACGAUGGAAUCUCUAGUAAUCAGAAGUCAUCAUCUUCUGGUGAAUAUGUCCCUGCUCCUUGUACACACCGCCCGUCAUUCCACCCGAGUUGGGUUUGGGUGAGGCUUAGUUAAAUGGCUAAGUCGAAUCUAAGCUCGAUGAGGAGGGACAAGUCGUCACAAGGUA
rnacentral:rRNA from 1 species